rnacentral:rRNA from 1 species
AACGAACGCUGGCGGCAGGCUUAACACAUGCAAGUCGAACGCACCUUUCGGGGUGAGUGGCAGACGGGUGAGUAACGCGUGGGAAUCUACCCUUCUCUACGGGAUAGCUCCGGGAAACUGGAAUUAAUACCGUAUACGUCCUGAGGGAGAAAGAUUUAUCGGGGAAGGAUGAGCCCGCGUUGGAUUAGCUAGUUGGUGGGGUAAAGGCCUACCAAGGCGACGAUCCAUAGCUGGUCUAAGAGGAUGAUCAGCCACAUUGCGACUGAGGCACGGCCCAAACUCCUACGGGAGGCAGCAGUGGGGAAUAUUGGACAAUGGGCGCAAGCCUGAUCCAGCCAUGCCGCGUGAGUGAUGAAGGCCCUAGGGUUGUAAAGCUCUUUCAGUGGGGACGAUAAUGACGGUACCCACAGAAGAAGCCCCGGCUAACUUCGUG